AGAGUCUCUGUUGCCCAGGCUGGAGUACAGUGAGACCAUCUUUCAAUCUCUGCCUUCCGGGUUCAAGUGAUUCUCCUGCUUCAGCCUCCAGGAUUACAGGUGCAUGCCACCAUGCCCAGCCAAUUUUUGUACAUUUUUUAGUAGAGACAGGGUUUCACCAUGUUGGCCAGGCUGGUCUUGAACUCCUGACCUAAAGUAAUCCACCACCUCAGGCUCCCAACGUGCUGGGAUUACAGGUGUGAGCCACCGUGCCCAGCCAUUUUUUGUUGUUAUUGUUUGUUUUCAUGAUUUCCUACAGGAAAAAAGCAAAAUAAAAAACUGUAAAGAAAAAAUGUCUUCAAAUUAAGAAGUUUCAAAUGUUAGGGUGGUCCCAAAAUGCAGUAAGAUCAAAACUUUGUGAUUACAGAAGAAAGCAUGUACAAGCAGAAUCAUAGAAAAAUUACCUCCUGAAAUAUCAGAACAGGAGCUUCCUUAAAAAACUCAAGUUGCUUAAGAAUUAGAACAAGUUAUUGACUUUCCAAAUAAUUUUUGGUACUGAAAGCUCCCAGUAACACUAAACACUAUCUAAAAAUAUUUCGGGAAAGUCAUGUAAACUCUUUUUCAUGUCAUCUGAAAGAAGUUCUUUUGUAACACUGCUGACACAAUUCAAAUGAGUGAAAAUAUAUAUAUUCCCUGAGGCAUUUUGGUGGUAGGAAAGGAAGUAUUUUCUAAUGAAU
rnacentral:lncRNA from 10 species